rnacentral:tRNA from 1 species
AACUCAAGCCCCUCACUUACACUGAGGUUAUAUCUGUGUGACUCGGAUUAUUUUGAG